rnacentral:rRNA from 1 species
AUUGAACGCUGGCGGCAGGCCUAACACAUGCAAGUCGAGCGAGCGGCGGACGGGUGAGUAAUGUAUGGGGACUGCCCGAUAGAGGGGGAUAACUACUGGAAACGGUAGCUAAUACCGCAUACUAUCGGAUAACCCAUAUGGGAUUAGCUGGUAGGUGAGGUAAUGGCUCACCUAGGCGACGAUCCCUAGCUGGUCUGGGAGGAUGAUCAGCCACCCGGGGACGGGGACAGGGCCCAAAUUCCUACGGAGGCAGCGGUGGGGAAUAUUGCACAAGGGGCGCAAGCCUGAUGAAGCCAGGCCGCGGGUAGGAAGAAGGCCCUAGGGUUGUAAAGUACGUUCAGUCGGGAGGCGUUACCGACAGAAGAAGCACCGGCUAACUCCGUGCCAGCCGCCGCGGUAAUAC